AGGCUGCAACUCGCCUGCACGAAGUCGGAAUCGCUAGUAAUCGCGGAUCAGCAAGCCGCGGUGAAUACGUUCCCGGGCCUUGUACACACCGCCCGUCACACCAUGAGAGCCGGGAACACCCGAAGUCGGUAGCCUAACCGCAAGGAGGGCGCUGCCGAAGGUGGGUUCGGUAAUUGGGGUGAAGUCGUAACAAGGUACC
rnacentral:rRNA from 1 species